rnacentral:rRNA from 1 species
AGUCAACAUGCCCAGGGGACGUGGAUAACCUCGGGAAACUGAGGAUAAACCGCGAUAGGUCAUCACUUCUGGAAUGGGUAAUGACUUAAACCUAUAUGGCCCCUGGAUUGGACUGCGGCCGAUCAGGCUGUUGGUGAGGUAAUGGCCCACCAAACCUGUAACCGGUACGGGCUCUGAGAGGAGGAGCCCGGAGAUGGGCACUGAGACAAGGGCCCAGGCCCUAUGGGGCGCAGCAGGCGCGAAACCUCUGCAAUAGGCGAAAGCUUGACAGGGUUACUCUGAGUGAUUUCCGUUAAGGAGAUCUUUUGGCACCUCUAAAAAUGGUGCAGAAUAAGGGGUGGGCAAGUCUGGUGUCAGCCGCCGCGGUAAUACCAGCACCCCGAGUGGUCGGGACGUUUAUUGGGCCUAAAGCAUCCGUAGCCGGUUCUACAAGUCUUCCGUUAAAUCCACCUGCUUAACAGAUGGGCUGCGGAAGAUACUAUAGAGCUAGGAGGCGGGAGAGGCAAGCGGUACUCGAUGGGUAGGGGUAAAAUCCGUUGAUCCAUUGAAGACCACCAGUGGCGAAGGCGGCUUGCCAGAACGCGCUCGACGGUGAGGGAUGAAAGCUGGGGGAGCAAACCGGAUUAGAUACCCGGGUAGUCCCAGCUGUAAACGAUGCAAACUCGGUGAUGCAUUGGCUUGUGGCCAAUGCAGUGCCGCAGGGAAGCCGUUAAGUUUGCCGCCUGGGAAGUACGUACGCAAGUAUGAAACUUAAAGGAAUUGGCGGGGGAGCACCACAAGGGGUGAAGCCUGCGGUU